AACAUUUACAUAAGUCUUCCAGAAGCAAGGAGUAACUACACGCAAUGUUCGCUAAAUUGAUUUUGUUGUUCGCUGUGCUGGCGUUUGCAGCUGCUGCCCCACAGCUAUACUCCGGGUACGGAUACAACAACUACGGAUACAGCGGAUACCCCAGCUACACUGGAUACUCCGGAUAUUCGAAUCCGGUUGCGUACAGUGGCUACGGAUCCUACAACUAUCCGUACAAUUACGGAUACGGUUACUACUAAACUCAGCUCUGCCCUUUUUCUAUAAUCCGCCAAUUUCUUUAAAUUCAUUAAAAUCUAGUCUAAUGCUUAAAAUUGUAUGAUAAUAUGUAUUAAUGUUAACUGUAUUGUAAUGCCGAUUUGAAAAUAAACAACUGCGUUAUAA